AAACAAUACCUCCCCAUUCACGGCUCCUCCCAGCCCCUGGCAACCACUAUUCUACUUCCUGUCUCUCUGAAUUUGACUACUCUGGACACAGAAUAGCAAACAUAAGGAGCACAGCAAACAUCACAGAUAUGAGAUGAAUGCUUAGGGUGCGGCUGCAGUGACGAAGUGAUUUCAGGUCAAUCACGAAAGGGUGACAGCGGACAGGAUGAGAGUCGCCAGGAGCCAGCGAGAAUGACUUCGGUUUGAGAAAGUCUAAGCUGGGUCAAGCCAAGGAGGAGCCCAGGCCACUCGCCCCGCGUCUCCCUCGCCGGGAUCCCCUCCUCGGACCUCCCCCUCCUGUCUCCGGGCUAGCCCUUCUGCCUGCGGCUACCACACUCCCCUGGGGCAGCUUUGGCCCCGGGUUCCAGGAAAGCAUCUGAUUGGCCGUGUUCUCACUAGGCCAGCCCUGAUAGAUCACUGGCCAGCCUAUGGAUAGGCUCCCCUCAGUCAGAUGCCCAUGCCUGGUCCAAUCAGCGGUGGGAAGCCGGGAGGGUCGGGGAAGUAGCUGUGGCUGGCGGGGCUCCCAACUCCUGCAGGGACUCCUGGCGGGUCCAAGGUGAAGCCCGGCCAGUCUCAGGCUUCACAGCGCCCCCUGGUGGUCCGGGGCGGAGGCGGGGAGGAGCCCAGGCAGCCGCAGGGCGAGGCUCAGGGC
rnacentral:lncRNA from 10 species